rnacentral:rRNA from 1 species
GACGAACGCUGGCGGCGUGCUUAACACAUGCAAGUCGAACGGAAAGGCCCUGCUUUUGUGGGGUGCUCGAGUGGCGAACGGGUGAGUAACACGUGAGUAACCUGCCCUUGACUUUGGGAUAACUUCAGGAAACUGGGGCUAAUACCGGAUAGGAGCUCCUGCUGCAUGGUGGGGGUUGGAAAGUUUCGGCGGUUGGGGAUGGACUCGCGGCUUAUCAGCUUGUUGGUGGGGUAGUGGCUUACCAAGGCUUUGACGGGUAGCCGGCCUGAGAGGGUGACCGGCCACAUUGGGACUGAGAUACGGCCCAGACCCCUACGGGAGGCAGCAGUGGGGAAUAUUGCACAAUGGGCGGAAGCCUGAUGCAGCAACGCCGCGUGCGGGAUGACGGCCUUCGGGUUGUAAACCGCUUUCGCCUGUGACGAAGCGUGAGUGACGGUAAUGGGUAAAGAAGCACCGGCUAACUACGUGCCAGCAGCCGCGGUGAUACGUAGGGUGCGAGCGUUGUCCGGAUUUAUUGGGCGUAAAGGGCUCGUAGGUGGUUGAUCGCGUCGGAAGUGUAAUCUUGGGGCUUAACCCUGAGCGUGCUUUCGAUACGGGUUGACUUGAGGAAGGCAGGGGAGAAUGGAAUUCCUGGUGGAGCGGUGGAAUGCGCAGAUAUCAGGAGGAACACCAGUGGCGAAGGCGGUUCUCUGGGCCUUUCCUGACGCUGAGGAGCGGAAGCGUGGGGAGCGAACAGGCUUAGAUACCCUGGUAGUCCACGCUGUAAACGGUGGGUACUAGGUGUGGGGUCCAUUCCACGGGUUCCGUGCCGUAGCUAACGCUUUAAGUACCCCGCCUGGGGAGUACGGCCGCAAGGCUAAAACUCAAAGGAAUUGACGGGGCCCCGCACAAGCGGCGGAGCAUGCGGAUUAAUUCGAUGCAACGCGUAGAACCUUACCUGGGUUUGACAUGGAUCGGGAGUGCUCAGAGAUGGGUGUGCCUCUUUUGGGGUCGGUUCACAGGUGGUGCAUGGCUGUCGUCAGCUCGUGUCGUGAGAUGUUGGGUUAAGUCCCGCAACGAGCGCAACCCUUGUUCACUGUUGCCAGCACGUUAUGGUGGGGACUCAGUGGAGACCGCCGGGGUCAACUCGGAGGAAGGUGGGGAUGACGUCAAGUCAUCAUGCCCCUUAUGUCCAGGGCUUCACGCAUGCUACAAUGGCUGGUACAGAGAGUGGCGAGCCUGUGAGGGUGAGCGAAUCUCGGAAAGCCGGUCUCAGUUCGGAUUGGGGUCUGCAACUCGACCUCAUGAAGUCGGAGUCGCUAGUAAUCGCAGAUCAGCAACGCUGCGGUGAAUACGUUCCCGGGGCU